ACAUAAAAGAUAAAAACAUCCAACCCCUUCUGAUUGGUUUUAAGACUUACAGCAAGAGAUGUAGCCUAUAUCUGAUACUCCUAAAAUGGCCAAGAACUGGAGACUAGAUAGACCAUGGGACUAGGAAAACCCCGCCAAAAGAGCAAGCAACACAAUGACUUCUCAUGAUAUUCUGCUAUAUCCAUUGGACAGUACCUCGCUCAACCAUCGCCAGAGAAGCUUUCUGCAGUAGAUGGGGACCCAGACCCACAACCAGACAGCGUCCAGAGGGUGAGAGACUUUGGAAGUCUCAGUCCUAAAUAGGAUGUCUUCAUCAAACCCCUCCCUUCAGUUCUUAGGGAAUCCAUGCAGAAGAGGAGACAGAAAGAGUGUGAGAGCCGGAUGCCUGAAAGGAACGUGUCUUCCAAACACAAGACUGGGAUAUGAACUCACAGAGACGGUGGCAGCUUUCUCAAGGCUUGCACAGGUUCGAGCCAGAUUCCCAGCCCCAAGAGAAAGCCAAGUGAACACAGGCUCCCACCUCUAACCACGAAGCUAUUUGCAACUGAUACCUGCUAGCAGAGAAAAAACUUAGUUUUCUCCAAUGGGGUGUCAGCAGGAGUAUUAAUUACACUUCAGGCUUCCGAAGGGGGGUAAAUAAGUUCAAAGGGCCAUCUGCCCCUGACCAGACCCCAGAGAAUCCCAAGUUUCAGCCUGCAGAGUGGGUGGACAGGAGAGCGAACUCAAGCCCAAUUCAUUUCCACUGAAGAGAAGCGCCGCUUGCUCCUUGGAGAUCUUCCUUACUGCAAGUCUCUGAGUGAACUGCCUUCCACGUAGAGGAACACAGGAGUGAAGAGACAGAAAUCCAGCCGUGCUUUUGUGCCAUGAUCUGACACCUAGAUGCAUAUUCCUUGUGUGGUUUACCCUCCCGUGAUGUCUAGUACUGACUUCCAGCUUGACAAGAUCUAGAAUCACUAUGAAGACAAACCUCUGGUCGUACCAGUGAGGAGCUGCUUAGAUUUGGAAGCGGGAAGACCCAUUCUAAACCAGUGAUGCCAUUCCAUGGGGUGGCGGACUGGGUUGCAUCAGCAAGAGCAAGCGAUCCAAGCAUUAGCAUUCAAGGCUCUCUGCUUCUUGACUAUGGGUGUGUUGUGGCCAGUGCCCACAUGCUCCUGCUGCUACAGUGUCCUCUCCAUGCUGGCUUGGACUCUCUGUGUGAGCCAAAGUAAACCAUCC
rnacentral:sRNA from 1 species